CUUACCUAGCCACGUUUACCUAGUUAUGUUUCUUUAAUGUGGGGUGUCUGGUACAACUCCAUCCCUAACCUCCACUUAGUAACUGUGGAAGCAAGCUAAGUUACCUUACAGUGAAGAGACCUUGACGACCGAUGACAUUUGGAUGGAUGUUCAGUUUAUUUGGGUCUGUUCUUGAAUUCUGAAUCCUUCCCCUCUCCCUGAUUUUGUUAGUGUCCAGAGUCCUCUGACCGCCCCUGGUUCUGGUUCUUGGCUUAUGUGUGUGGCCCUGGGUAGUUUCUGUACCGAGUAGGUGAAGACUGGGCUUGUGCUGGGCUGCAUGCCUGGCUGCUGAUGGUUAGAAUGACUCUACU
rnacentral:lncRNA from 1 species